UAGGGCUAGACUGGGUUAGACUGGGUUAGGGCUGGACCGGGUUAGACUGGGUUACUGUUAGGGCUAGACUGGGUUAGACUGGGUUACUGUUAGGGCUAGACUGGGUUACUGUUAGGGCUGGACCGGGUUAGACUGGGUUAGACUGGGUUAGACUGGGAUACUGUUAGGGCUGGACUGGGUUAGACUGGGUUACUGUUAGGGCUAGACUGGGUUAGACUGGGUUACUGUUAGGGUUAGACUGGGUUACUGUUAGGGCUGGACUGGGUUAGGCUGGGUUACUGUUAGGGCUGGACUGGGUUAGACUGGGUUACUGUUAGGGCUGGACUGGGUUAGACUGGGUUACUGUUAGGGUUAGACUGGGUUACUGUUAGGGCUGGACUGGGUUACUGUUAGGGCUAAACUGGGUUAGGCUGGGUUACUGUUAGGGCUGGACUGGGUUACUGUUAGGGCUGGACUGGGUAAGGCUGGGUUACUGUUGGGGCUAGACUGGGUUAGACUGGGUUACUGUUAGGGUUAGACUGGGUUACUGUUAGGGCUGGACUGGGUUAGACUGGGUUACUGUUAGGGCUGGACUGGGUUAGGCUGGGUUACUGUUAGGGCUGGACUGGGUUAGACUGGGUUACUGUUAGGGCUGGACUGGGUUAGACUGGGUUACUGUUAGGGUUAGACUGGGUUACUGUUAGGGCUGGACUGGGUUACUGUUAGGGCUAAACUGGGUUAGGCUGGGUUACUGUUAGGGCUGGACUGGGUUAUUGUUAGGGCUGGACUGGGUUAGGCUGGGUUACUGUUGGGGCUGGAUUGGGUUAGGCUGGGUUACUGUUAGGGCUAGACUGGGUUAGACUGGGUUACUGUUAGGGCUGGACUGGGUUAGACUGGGUUACUGUUAGGGCUGGACUGGGUUAGACUGGGUUACUGUUAGGACCGGACUGGGUUACUGUUAGGGCUAGACUGGGUUACUGUUAGGGCUAGACUGGGUUAGACUGGGUUACUGUUGGGGCUGGACUGGAUUAGACUGGGUUACUGUUAGGGUUAGACUGGGUUACUGUUAGGGCUGGACUGGGUUACUGUUAGGGCUGGACUGGGUUAGACUGGGUUACU
rnacentral:lncRNA from 1 species